rnacentral:rRNA from 1 species
GACGAACGCUGGCGGCGUGCCUAAUACAUGCAAGUAGAACGCUGAAGGAGGAGCUUGCUCUUCUGGAUGAGUUGCGAACGGGUGAGUAACGCGUAGGUAACCUGCCUGGUAGCGGGGGAUAACUAUUGGAAACGAUAGCUAAUACCGCAUAACAGUAGAUGUUGCAUGACAUUUACUUAAAAGGUGCAAUUGCAUCACUACCAGAUGGACCUGCGUUGUAUUAGCUAGUUGGUGGGGUAACGGCUCACCAAGGCGACGAUACAUAGCCGACCUGAGAGGGUGAUCGGCAACACUGGGACUGAGACACGGCACAGACUCCUACGGGAGGCAGCAGUAGGGAAACGUCGGCAAUGGACGGAAGUCUGACCGAGAAACGCCGCGUGAGUGAAGAAGGUUUUCGGAUCGUAAAGCUCUGUUGUAAGAGAAGAACGAGUGUGAGAGUGGAAAGUUCACAGUGUGACGGUAUCUUACCAGAAAGGGACGGCUAACUACGUG